UCCCUGCUGGCUCAGAUGGUAAAGCGUCUGUCUACAAUGCAGGAGACCUGGGUUCAAUCCCUGGAUUGGGAA
rnacentral:tRNA from 1 species